rnacentral:rRNA from 1 species
UAGUGUGAAUUGCAGAAUUCAGUGAAUCAUUCGAAUCUUUGAACGCACAUUGCGCCCCUUGGUAUCCCGAGGGGCAUGCCUGUUCGAGCGUCAUC